rnacentral:rRNA from 1 species
AACGAACGCUGGCGGCAUGCCUAACACAUGCAAGUCGAACGAGACCUUCGGGUCUAGUGGCGCACGGGUGCGUAACGCGUGGGAACCUGCCCUUAGGUUCGGAAUAACUCCCCGAAAGGGGUGCUAAUACCGGAUAAUGUCUUCGGACCAAAGAUUUAUCGCCUUUGGAUGGGCCCGCGUUGGAUUAGCUAGUUGGUAGGGUAAAAGCCUACCAAGGCGACGAUCCAUAGCUGGUCUGAGAGGAUGAUCAGCCACACUGGGACUGAGACACGGCCCAGACUCCUACGGAAGGCAGCAGUGGGGAAUACUGGACAAUGGGCGAAAGCCUGAUCCAGCAAUGCCGGGUGAGUGAUGAAGGCCUUAGGGUUGUAAAGCUCUUUUACCCGGGAUGAUAAUGACAGUACCGGGAGAAUAAGCUCCGGCUAACUCCGUG